AAGAAGCAAUGAAAACAUUCGAGUCGUUCUCGGACUCAUAUAAAGCUAUGCUAACGACCGAACAACAAAACUGGAAAUGCUUUUAGGUAAACAUUAAUACUUUCUGUAGAAGCUAGCAAUCAUGAGAUCGAACAUUGGGUUACCAUUUCUCGCCGUGACUUCCUGUGAAGCGGAUAACCUUUCCAGCAAAAAGGGUAAUGGAUCUUCAUCCAUAUAUUUUAGAAGGUCUUCGUAAGCGUGCUGUAAACCAAUAAAAAAAAAUUCUUUCCAAAAAA